rnacentral:rRNA from 1 species
AGCGAACGUUAGCGGCGGGCCUAACACAUGCAAGUCGCACGAGAAUAGGGGGGCAACUCCCUUAGUAAAGUGGCGGACGGGUGCGUAACACGUGGGUAAUUUACCUGUUGGCGGGGGACAACCUUCCGAAAGGAGGGCUAAUACCGCGUACGUCGGCGAGGGCUCCGGUCCUUGCCGGGAAAGGUGGCCUCUUCUUGAAAGCUACCACCGACAGAUGAACCCGCGGCCCAUCAGCUAGUUGGUGAGGUAACGGCACACCAAGGCUAAGACGGGUAGCUGGUCGGCGAGGAUGAUCAGCCACACUGGGACUGCGACACGGCCCAGACUCCUACGGGAGGCAGCAGUGGGGAAUAUUGGGCAAUGGGCGAAAGCCUGACCCAGCCACGCCGCGUGAGUGAUGAAGGCCUUCGGGUCGUAAAGCUCUGUGGGGAGGGACGAACAAGCCUUGGGCUAAUCACCAGGGCCCUGACGGUACCUCCUUAGCAAGCACCGGCUAACCCUGUGCCAGCCGCCGCCGUAAAAC